AUUGAACGCUGGCGGAAUGCUUUACACAUGCAAGUCGAGCGGCAGCACGGACUUCGGUCUGGUGGCGAGUGGCGAACGGGUGAGUAAUAUAUCGGAACGUGCCCAGUCGUGGGGGAUAACGUAGUGAAAAUUACGCUAAUACCGCAUACGAUCUAUGGAUGAAAGCGGGGGAUCGCAAGACCUCGCGCGAUUGGAGCGGCCGAUAUCAGAUUAGGUAGUUGGUGAGGUAAAGGCUCACCAAGCCAACGAACUAUAGCUGGUCUGAGAGGACGACCAGCCACACUGGAACUGAGACACGGUCCAGACUCCUACGGGAGUCAGCAGUGGGGAAUUUUGGACAAUGGACGCAAGUCUGAUCCAGCCAUUCCGCGUGCAGGACGAAGGCCUUCGGGUUGUAAACUGCUUUUGUACAGAACGAAAAGGUUUCUAUUAAUACUAGGGGCUCAUGACGGUACUGUAAGAAUAAGCACCGGCUAACUACGUGCCAGCCGCCGCGGUAA
rnacentral:rRNA from 1 species